rnacentral:lncRNA from 1 species
AUGAUAUUCUUCUAACAGAGAUCGACAUUACGUACCUUUGAAUAAUGUUUAUCAUUUGUUGGUAAUUUUCUUGUGGUUUUCUCAUUGAGUCAAAGAUUAACAACCGGUUCUUGGGAAUUUCACUGACCAUGAGUAUCCAGUGAAAGCUGUUUACACACACAUAUAUAUAGUCAGGACUAUAACUAUAUAAAACUCGAAUCGAGUAAUAAUAACUUAAUAACUAUAUAACUCAUUCGAAGUUGUAGGGGAAGAGUAUUUUUUGUUUUUCUUUUUGGUUCACAAAGAACCUCAUAAGAUUGGUGCAGACUUCUGUCUCAUGAGAUGCUGUCCACACUGCCUGCGGAGCCUUGAGAACAAUAUAAGGGUCAACAAACCCAAUACUAUUGUCAUUUUUGCUUCUGAGCUCUCAUUUGGUGCCUGCAUAUAUACAUACAAAUUCUAAGUGUGUAAGGAUUAUAUACAUAUAAUUAAAGAAGGUAGAAGUUUAAUAUAAAGAAAAAAUACUUACACACAAAAGCAGCUAACGAGAGAUUUGUCGAGAGCGUCGAGGUGACAUAAUUGGUGCAAUUCUUCGAACUAGACGUAUAUGAGGUCAUCUCCACGGAAGUAGUGAUGUUGUUGAAUACGAACAGAAAUCUAAUUAUCUCCCCUUUUAGAUGCCUCCAUGCACCACUUGUUUAUUGCAAACAUUUGUGUGCCGAGCUCAUGUAAAUGUUGAGGGUUCAUUAGACUCCAGCCCGGUUCAUAUCUUGCCCUCCAUUGAUCAACUAACUCAGCUUUUUCAAAAGUUUGACAUCCAACAAUGGCGGCAAUGUCUUCAAUAUUUAGACCGCUCUGUCCAAAGUAAUGCUCAAGCAAAUCUAGCUCACACAAGAUUAAGGAUUUCUUUGGCAUCAAGUCUUCAUUUGAGCCGUAUUGAUUUGGCACA